AGCAGAUCCAAAUGGCUGUCCAAGCAGAAUAUUUGAAUAGUCAGAUCCUCAAUCAACCAUUGCCACCGGAAACCCUUUUAUUGUUGAAUCAGUUGCUGAAGUAUUUACAAUUACAUGUCAUGCAGAAUAAUUUACGAUGUGAAGGCGCUUUCAAUAAUCAAAUGCCGAUUAUUUCGAAAAUAAAGCAAAAAAUCGCUGGAUUGGAGAACCACCCAACAAGCAGUCAACAUGAAGCACCAACAGCAGCAUUUUGGAAAAGCAACUAGGUACCUGGCAAAUAACGUCGAUCGUGAACUGAAUGAUCUAACUACGUCUCAGAAUAAAUUAUCGGAAAUGAAAUUAGGUAAAGAACAUAUCACCAUAGCUCUAAAGGCGGUAGUAUCGGUACCGGUUCUACUAAUCAACACUGAUCAAUGGAAGUUGCCAACCAUUGACAAGGAUGAAGAACACGAUUUUACUGAUUUUUGUCGUGCAUCUAGAACCAUGGCAAAAUCCACACUUCCCACUUCCCACUACUGAAUCAAACAUCUACACCUGGUCCACCUGUCGUGGAGGAAUUGAAGGUGGAUGACCAGAUUUCUCAGUCGAAACUGUCAGUGACGAUUAGCCUGCUAGACAACAUACUUUCACAGAUUUGCUUGCUAUGCGCUUGAAUCUGGAAUACCUAGAAAGUUUUGUAUGCUAUUUUAAAUCAAUAAUCAGUUAUAUUGCAUCAGGGCACUAAAAUGUAUUAGUAUUGCAUGUAUUUUGCAAAUGAUAAUAAA